GGCAGGCCUAACACAUGCAAGUCGAGCGAACCCUUCGGGGUUAGCGGCGGACGGGUGAGUAACGCGUGGGAAUGUGCCCUUCUCUACGGAAUAGUCCUGGGAAACUGGGGGUAAUACCGUAUACGCCCUUUGGGGGAAAGAUUUAUCGGAGAAGGAUCAGCCCGCGUUGGAUUAGGUAGUUGGUGGGGUAAUGGCCUACCAAGCCUACGAUCCAUAGCUGGUUUGAGAGGAUGAUCAGCCACACUGGGACUGAGACACGGCCCAGACUCCUACGGGAGGCAGCAGUGGGGAAUCUUAGACAAUGGGGGCAACCCUGAUCUAGCCAUGCCGCGUGAGUGAUGAAGGCCUUAGGGUUGUAAAGCUCUUUCAGCUGGGAAGAUAAUGACGGUACCAGCAGAAGAAGCCCCGGCUAACUCCGUGCCAGCAGCCGCGGUAAUACGGAGGGGGCUAGCGUUGUUCGGAAUUACUGGGCGUAAAGCGCACGUAGGCGGACUGGAAAGUUGGGGGUGAAAUCCCGGGGCUCAACCCCGGAACUGCCUUCAAAACUAUCAGUCUUGAGUUCGAGAGAGGUGAGUGGAAUUCCGAGUGUAGAGGUGAAAUUCGUAGAUAUUCGGAGGAACACCAGUGGCGAAGGCGGCUCA
rnacentral:rRNA from 1 species